AGUUUCCCUCAGGAUAGCUGGCGCUCGAAGUCUCACAGUUACAUCUGGUAAAGCGAAUGAUUAGAGGUCUUGGGGCUGAAACGAUUUCAACCUAUUCUCAAACUUUAAAUGUGUAAGAAGCCCGGCUCGCUGUCCUGGAGCCGGACGUGGAAUGCGAGCCGCCUAGUGGGCCGCAGCGAUGAUCUGAAUGCCGGGUUAAGGCGCCCGAUGCCGCUUUAGCAGGAUUCUUUAUCUUCACAACUGGCUAUGUGAUUAUUGCAGCUCAAUGGGUG
rnacentral:ncRNA from 1 species